UUUUUUAAUUUUUUUAAAACCCCCUUCGAGUAGAAGAGGCCUACCAACGCAGCAACGGGUAACGGGGUGUUAGGGCACGACACCGGAGAGGGAGCCUGAGAAACGGCUACCACAUCCAAGGAUGGCAGCAGGCGCGCAAAUUACCCAAUCCCGACACGGGGAGGUAGUGACAAUAAAUAACAAUACGGGGUCCUUUCGGGUCUCGUAAUUGGAAUGAGUACAAUUUAAAUCUCUUAACGAGGAACAAUUGGAGGGCAAGUCUGGUGCCAGCAGCCGCGGUAAUUCCAGCUCCAAUAGCGUAUAUUAAAGUUGUUGCAGUUAAAAAGCUCGUAGUUGAAUUUCGGGAUCAGCAUGUCGGUCGUGCCUCUGGUACGUACUGGUAUCGUUGAUUUCUACCUUCUGACGAACCGUGAUGUCAUUAAUUUGGUGUCAUGGGAAAUCAGGACUGUUACUUUGAAAAAAUUAGAGUGUUUAAAGCAGGCACACGCUUGAAUACAUUAGCAUGGAAUAAUGAAAUAGGACGUUUGACCCUAUUUUGUUGGUUUCUAGGAUCGACGUAAUGAUUAAUAGGGAUAGUUGGGGGCAUUAGUAUUCAAUUGUCAGAGGUGAAAUUCUUGGAUUUAUUGAAGACUGACUACUGCGAAAGCAUUUGCCAAGGAUGUUUUCAUUAAUCAAGAACGAAAGUUAGGGGAUCGAAGACGAUCAGAUACCGUCGUAGUCUUAACCAUAAACUAUGCCGACUAGGGAUCGGAUGAUGUUAAUUUUUUAAUGACUAAGCCGGCGCCUUACGGGAACAAGGGGGGGGGGGGGACACAAAGAGAGGGGG
rnacentral:rRNA from 1 species